rnacentral:rRNA from 2 species
CCCAGACUCCUACGGGAGGCAGCAGUAGGGAAUCUUCCACAAUGGACGCAAGUCUGAUGGAGCAACGCCGCGUGAGUGAAGAAGGUCUUCGGAUCGUAAAACUCUGUUGUUAGAGAAGAACACGAGUGAGAGUAACUGUUCAUUCGAUGACGGUAUCUAACCAGCAAGUCACGGCUAACUACGUGCCAGCAGCCGCGGUAAUACGUAGGUGGCAAGCGUUGUCCGGAUUUAUUGGGCGUAAAGGGAACGCAGGCGGUCUUUUAAGUGUGAUGUGAAAGCCUUCGGCUUAACCGGAGUAGUGCAUUGGAAACUGGAAGACUUGAGUGCAGAAGAGGAGAGUGGAACUCCAUGUGUAGCGGUGAAAUGCGUAGAUAUAUGGAAGAACACCAGUGGCGAAAGCGGCUCUCUGGUCUGUAACUGAC